ACAACUAUUGAAGCCAACAGGAAAAGAAAAUCUGCUAUUAUAGCUAAUAUCAAAAGAAAAACAACUGCUAUUAUCACUAAUAUCAAAAGAAAAGCUCAGAGGAAAAGAAAGAAGGCUAAUAAAUCUAGUAAAAGUGAAACUGCUGAGACGCCUAAUGAUGCAGUUUCACCUGAACUGGAUAAAUGUUGCUAUGAUGAAUGUGUAUCCAGACAAAACAUAUGCUUUGAAGACCAAGUUAAAACAGCAAUUGCA